GGCUAACGCUGGCGGCGCGCCUAAUACAUGCAAGUCGAACGAACCCACCGGGGUUAGUGGCCGACGGGUGAGUAACGCGUGGAUAAUGUGCCUCUUUGCUGGGGAUACCGUUCCGAAAGGAUCGCUAAUGCCGAACGUGCUUGUUUCGCGGCAUCGUCGAGCAAGUAAAGUUUUAGUGUUAAGAGAGGAGUACGAGUUCUAUCAGCUAGUUGGUGAGGUAACGGCUCACCAAGGGUACGACGGAUAACUGGUCUGAGAAGAUGACCCGUCACACUGGAACUGAGGCACGGUCCAGACUUCUUCGGGAAGGGGCGGUUAGGAAUCUUGCAAAAUGGGCGAAAGCCUGAAGCGGCGGCGCCGCGUGAAAGGUGAAGGCCUUCGGGUUAUAAACCUCUAUCAAUAGGGGAAAAGAAUGACGGUACCUACUGAGAAAGCGUCGGCUAACUACGUG
rnacentral:rRNA from 1 species